rnacentral:rRNA from 1 species
GAUGAACGCUGGCGGCGUGCCUAAUACAUGCAAGUCGAGCGAACGGACGAGAAGCUUGCUUCUCUGAUGUUAGCGGCGGACGGGUGAGUAACACGUGGAUAACCUACCUAUAAGACUGGGAUAACUUCGGGAAACCGGAGCUAAUACCGGAUAAUAUUUUGAACCGCAUGGUUCAAAAGUGAAAGACGGUCUUGCUGUCACUUAUAGAUGGAUCCGCGCUGCAUUAGCUAGUUGGUAAGGUAACGGCUUACCAAGGCAACGAUGCAUAGCCGACCUGAGAGGGUGAUCGGCCACACUGGAACUGAGACACGGUCCAGACUCCUACGGGAGGCAGCAGUAGGGAGUCUUCCGCAAUGGGCGAAAGCCUGACGGAGCAACGCCGCGUGAGUGAUGAAGGUCUUCGGAUCGUAAAACUCUGUUAUUAGGGAAGAACAUAUGUGUAAGUAACUGUGCACAUCUUGGCGGUACCUAAUCAGAAAGCCACGGCUAACUACGUGCCAGCAGCCGCGGUAAUACGUAGGUGGCAAGCGUUAUCCGGAAUUAUUGGGCGUAAAGCGCGCGUAGGCGGUUUUUUAAGUCUGAUGUGAAAGCCCACGGCUCAACCGUGGAGGGUCAUUGGAAACUGGAAAACUUGAGUGCAGAAGAGGAAAGUGGAAUUCCAUGUGUAGCGGUGAAAUGCGCAGAGAUAUGGAGGAACACCAGUGGCGAAGGCGACUUUCUGGUCUGUAACUGACGCUGAUGUGCGAAAGCGCGGGGAUCAAACAGGAUUAGAUACCCUGGUAGUCCACGCCGUAAACGAUGAGUGCUAAGUGUUAGGGGGUUUCCGCCCCUUAGUGCUGCAGCUAACGCAUUAAGCACUCCGCCUGGGGAGUACGACCGCAAGGUUGAAACUCAAAGGAAUUGACGGGGACCCGCACAAGCGGUGGAGCAUGUGGUUUAAUUCGAAGCAACGCGAAGAACCUUACCAAAUCUUGACAUCCUUUGACAACUCUAGAGAUAGAGCCUUCCCCUUCGGGGGACAAAGUGACAGGUGGUGCAUGGUUGUCGUCAGCUCGUGUCGUGAGAUGUUGGGUUAAGUCCCGCAACGAGCGCAACCCUUAAGCUUAGUUGCCAUCAUUAAGUUGGGCACUCUAAGUUGACUGCCGGUGACAAACCGGAGGAAGGUGGGGAUGACGUCAAAUCAUCAUGCCCCUUAUGAUUUGGGCUACACACGUGCUACAAUGGACAAUACAAAGGGCAGCGAAACCGCGAGGUCAAGCAAAUCCCAUAAAGUUGUUCUCAGUUCGGAUUGUAGUCUGCAACUCGACUACAUGAAGCUGGAAUCGCUAGUAAUCGUAGAUCAGCAUGCUACGGUGAAUACGUUCCCGGGUCU